rnacentral:rRNA from 1 species
UACGAAGGGGGCUAGCGUUGCUCGGAAUCACUGGGCGUAAAGCGCACGUAGGCGGAUUGUUAAGUCAGGGGUGAAAUCCUGGAGCUCAACUCCAGAACUGCCUUUGAUACUGGCGAUCUUGAGUCCGGGAGAGGUGAGUGGAACUCCGAGUGUAGAGGUGAAAUUCGUAGAUAUUCGGAAGAACACCAGUGGCGAAGGCGGCUCACUGGCCCGAUACUGACGCUGAGGCACGAAAGCGUGGGGAGCAAACAGG